CCUACGGGAGGCAGCAGUGGGGAAUAUUGCACAAUGGUGGAAACCCUGAUGCAGCGACGCCGCGUGAGUGAAGAAGUACUUCGUUAUGUAAAGCUCUCUCAGCAGGGAAGAAAAUGACGGUACCUGAGUAAGAAGCCCCGGCUAAGUACGUGCCAGCAUCCGCGGUAAUACGUAGGGGGCAAGCGUUAUCCUGCUUUACUGGGUGGAAAGGGAGCGUAGACGGCCGUGCAGGUCUGGAGUGAAAGGCGGGGGCUCAACCCCCGGAGUGCUCUGGAAACUGUACGGCUGGAGUGCAGGAGUGGUAAGUGGAAGUCCUAGUGUAGCGGUGAAAUGCGUAGAUAUUAGGAGGAACACCAGUGGCGAAGGCGGCUUACUGGACUGUAACUGACGUUGAGGCUCGAAAGCGUGGGGAGCAAACAGGAUUAGAUACCCGGGUAGUC
rnacentral:rRNA from 1 species